GAACGGGCGUGCGCGUAUGCCGUGCACAAAUGCUGACCUCCGCACCGUCUCUCUGCAGCCUCCUCUCCUCUCGAAAGCUAAGGGCCUCUUCGCGCUACUCGACCACCCACCCCCUCCCCGCGCGUCUGCAGCCCUCUCUCUCGCUCUGUGUGUGUGUGUGUGUGUGUGUGUGUGUGUGUGUGUGACGGAGGCACUGCCGGAGGUGGCACACGCGUUCCGGUGACCCACACGCCCUCCAGGUGCUCGCUAUGCUCCGGCGAGGUCUGUGGCGAUAUCGCCGAAUCAGCUACGUGACGGAUGUCGAGGGGGACUUCGCGUACUUUCAGCGCUUCGUCUGUAUCUCACGAGUGCUUCGGUGGGAACCGGCGGAGGCUGCGGUCUCCUCCAACCCUCCCCGCCCUUUCGCCGGGGGCAGCAACGGCUCGAGAGUCGCGAAUGGUCGGUGGGCCCCCUUGUCCUCUGCCGUGCUUUCGGCCCCCUCGGGGGCGUUCCCAGCAAGCGAUGCUGCUGCCAGCACGCAAGCACUGGGCACCACCACCACGCCUGCCGUCACGGAUGCCUACGAGCCGGAGUAUUGCCGUCUUGUUGACCUCUCUCGCUAUCGUCUAGGCUUCCAAGACGCGACCUCACACUUCGUCUUUGGUGGCGACGCCUUCGACCACGGCAGCGACAUCACGUUCGGCAAGGCGCUGCUCGACUUCAAGCGCCGCUUCCCAUCACGCGUGCACCUGCUGCUUGGGAACCGGGACGUGAACAAGAUGGCCAUGUACCCACGCAUGGCGUGCGAGGUCGAGGGCAUGGCCCCCGACGCAGCCGAGGACAGCGUCUUCACGCUAACGCCGCCAUCGAUGAAGACCGUCAGGGCGGCGUCGCUGACGGAAGCGCUGCGGUACCGAGACUUCCUACUGGAGCAGCGACAGCGACAAGAAGCGCAACGCCAGGACGGCGCAGGGCACGCCGCAUCAAGCCCGUAUGGCGGCGCCUCUUGCGGCAGCAGCGGCGAUACCCUGCGCACAGACGCCGUUUCUUUCCUGCAGUGGGCAUUGCAGUACAAACUCGGCGGCCCGAACGCCUUUGCCCACCGGCGGCAGGAGUUGCGCGAGAUGGCGGCCAUGAUGGCCGAAGGGUGUGGGGCGGUGGCGGCGGCACCCCCCGCCGCUGGUGCGGAGGCUAUGAGGGACGGCAUUGCGUAUGACGAAGACGCCGUGGUCGCCGCCUCGUUCUUCACUGCCGCGCAGCCCGGAGGCGUCUACUACGAGUACAUCCGCGCUGGCGUUCUCAGCGUCGUCCUGGACGGCGUCCUUUUCGUCCACGGAGGCGUGAACGCCAGCAACGCCGGCUUUGUGCCAAGCCUGGAGGCGACCUCCUACGCGGAGCAGGUGGCCGUUGGGCAGUGGUGGCUGCCAGAGGUCGCUCCGCAGGAGGUGACGACCACGCCGACUGCGUCCUCGGCGACCUCGGCGCUGGGCUGGCUCGCUGCCUUGGAGCAGUUUAAAGCGGCUGCCUUCUCCGAUUGGGUGAACGGCGCUGCCCUGCGCGGCGAGGCGCUGCGCGCGUACGUGUACCCCCGCGUUGUGGCCCCGCACUCGAUCGCGGUGGGGACGGUGAUGAACGCAGACGGCCCUCACUACAUACCUCUCACUGUUGCCGCCUACCUUCUCCAGUCCGGCAUCCACACCGUGUGCGCCGGGCACCAGCCGGUCGGCGACACCCCCGCCAUCAUCCGCCAGCCCGGUGGCUUCACGAUCAUAGACGCGGACAACUCCUACUGCGGCCGUGGCAACAAGUUCUGCACGCGGUUCAACCGCCGCGGCGCGGCGGUGAUGGAGGUCUUGUUUGAGCACCCGGACGACCACGGCGGCGACGAUAACGUGGCGCCGCACGACGAGGUUGCUGCGCCAUCGCUGACCGUCCACGGCUACCGUGCCGAUGGUACGCCUUUCGAGUUCGACGUCUACAGCGACUGGCGCGUCGGGCGUUACGUCGGCGACGGUUGGUGGGUGCGGCUGCCCCCAGAGGCCACCGCUGCCACUUCAUCGUCUUUCAGAGGCAACGAGGCAGCGCACGCGGGACUCUACGAGCUGCGCCGCACCCAGGACGGGUUCCGGCACGAGGAGACGCGGUGGGCCACAGCAGCGGAGGUAGACGCGUGGCUGAGGCAGGUCGCGGCAAGCGGGAAGGCGACGGUGCCGGGAGAGUUGGCGCCGCGGCACACGAAAGAGGAGCUCGCCGAGGUGCGCGCCCACCGCCUCAAGACGAAGGUGAAGCGCACCUGAGCAGUCUAGUGUGAUGUGGCGGCGCCCCCUUCGCGUUCGACAGCAGCGCACCUUGUUCUUCAUGGAUGCAUGCCUGUGUGCGCCCACGACCACCACCCAGCAUGUCGUCGCCGGCCCGCUCCAUUGCACACAUUGAUGCGCGUGUGUGAGCACCGUUUCGGCAACGGGUGCGUAGCCUGGGCAUGGCUGGUGGGGGCGGGGCGGGGGCAGUGGAGCAAGAACAAAAUG
rnacentral:misc_RNA from 1 species